CUUUCCACAAGUCGGACUUACUUGGACACAUCUGCACCAAAAAUUUUCUUCCGCCUCUGAAUUCACAUUGCUUGCUAUAUUUGAGUUUGAAGACCCUAGUCAAUGAUAUUGUAAGUUUAUAUUAAGUCGAAGUUAGCUUUCGACCAUUUAAACAUGAUAUUCAGUUGGCUAAUGAUUUAAGAUUCCAUUUUACGGGUUUUUUGUCUCCAACCUAUCUCCUUAUUACCA
rnacentral:snRNA from 1 species